rnacentral:tRNA from 1 species
GCCGGUGUGGUGAAAUUGGUAGACGCGCUAGACUCAAAAUCUUGUUCCGCAAGGAGUGUCGGUUCGAGUCCGACCACCGGCACCA